rnacentral:tRNA from 1 species
GCUCGCUUAGCUCAGCUGGUAGAGCAAUGGACUGUUAAUCCAUGUGUCGCAGGUUCAAAACCUGCAGCGGGCG